rnacentral:miRNA from 1 species
UUCCUUCCAGUCGAUGAGGUGUAACAACCUCAUCGACCAGAAGGGAUUCCUUCCAGUCGAUGAGGUGUAACAACCUCAUCAACCGGAAGGAAUCCCUUCCGGUUGAUGAGGUGUAACAACCUCAUCAACCGGAAGGGA